GCUGAGACUACAGUCACAUCCUGACACAGCACUUGUCCUGAUGUGCUAGAGUUUUCAGAGAUUAUGCUGUUCUUGAUUCACUGGCAGAGGAAAUCAGUGGCUCCUUCAUACCCAGCUCAGAAGCAUUC